AUUGGGCUGUGCCCGAAGCCGCCGUGUUCCGGCUGGCACCAACCCUAGCUACUUUCCCCUUUGCAAUUCCUCUGAAAUCACAUCCUAAUUGAAACAUAUUCAUGUGUUUCUCGUAAUAGAUGCUUACAAUUCUCGACAGUACUGGCUAGGUCCUGUCACACACCGAGCCGAACCGAUACGAGCUGGGUAAAAUCCCACCCACCGCCCAGCUCCCACUAGCGAAUGGCCUCCGCCCCUGCUUUCAGCGCGCCGCCGCCGGCCUACCGCCACACGCGCCGCCGCCGGCCUCCCGCAAGACUCGCCGCCGCCGGCCCCCGCUUCCACCCGCCAUCAGCCACCUUAAAGGGCCACCCAGUCACCUUCACCGCCGCCACAAGCGACGCGCCUCCUCCCAUGGAUGCGGUCGCCGCCCUGCGCCUCCUGCUGGCGACGAGCCCAGUCCUCCUUCCUUCUUCCAGCGACGCGCCGUUCAACGCCACCACCACUGCCAGUUCAACGCUGCCCCGACAAAUCCUGUGCGUCAACCCCCUGGCUGACUUUGCUUCUCUCAACUUCAAAAAGAGGUUCCGUUCAGAAGCUUGAACAAGAAAAAGAGGUUCAUUCAGAACUUGCGUGUGGUGUCUGUACUGCUGCUAACCUUGUUUUGCUUCUUUACAAAGCCUCUAGGAAUAUUAGUACUGAAUUGUUUAUGUCAGUUCCAGCCGGCAAGUGGCCCUGCACAACAACAUGCAGCAGUUCGACAGGGGAGUGUGGGUCAGUACCACGCCGACAAGUCAGGCAGACGUCCUUUGCAUCACGAACUAGUGCAGUUCGAUCUUGCGCAAGCGGGAAAUUCCCUGAUGCCGAGUGUGUCAGUACCACCCUACACAGCAGCAAUCAUUGUCUUCUUGCAGCUUCCAUUGAACAAUUAAUCCAAGGAAUUUUGGGUGGAGCAACAUUUGUCGGUCUUAGGAAUCUCGAUCAUUAUUCACCACCAGCCAUGGUGAUGGUCAUUGCUGCUCUUUCCAUCGCAUGGGAGCCGGUUGUUGCUGCCCUUCAAUAUCUCUAUAUCUGAACUAUUGUUGCUUGCUAUCUCACCCCUCUCAAAACUUUUUGAUGGUUCGUGUACAGAGAAAUACCUUUUUUGUGUUUCUUUUUUAAGUCAUUAUAUGCUCUCGAAAUGUUUAUGUUUAUGCCUCAAAAGAGAGAGAGAGAGAGAGAGAGAGAGAGAGAGAGAGAGAGAGAGAGAGAGAGAGAGAAAACCAGUACGUGUGUCUCACUCUGUUACAUAACAUUUUAAUUAUCUUUGCCACAAAGCUUCAUUUAUCCAGAGAAGUUCAAAGUAAAGAUUAGUUCACACUUUAGGUUUUUCUCCUUUGGUCUAUUUGUUCAGUUCUGAAUCCUUCGGUUUUGGUUGCAGAGAAAGUUCAAAGUUCAUGCUCCUUUGUUUUUUGUUAAGUCAGGCAGAGUCAGGUCUUGCUCGGGCAUCAUCUCGUCUCGUCCGUUCAGCAAAUGCCUCCAGAUAAGUUUACACUUGUGGUUAUUCUCGUUGGUUUAAUUCUUCAGUCCACACUCCUUGGGUUUUUGUUCUAGAGAAGUUAAAGAAAACCUGUAGAAGUUUGUGGUAAGUUAUGUUUCAUUUGAAGCAGGAACAUCAACUGCCACACCGUUGGUGUUUUGUAUAAUUCGUACCAAUUGAUUCAUAUGUUUGAUUCUAACCCUUUAAAUUUUACUGGACUACGCAGCCCAAGGACAUGGUGUUGAAGCUGUCGGGCGUGCAGAGGCAGGCGGUGCUGAAGCACGGGGGCUUGUUGCUGCCAAGGGGCCGAACGACGCCCCUGUACUAGAGCAGGUAGUACUGCCUGGGCAUGUCCACCUGCGACGUACCUGGCCACGGUGGCGGCACAACGGCGUCGAGCACGAGCUGCACGCAGCGCUUGCCCAUGCAACCCGCCGCCUGCUAGCCCCGCAUCCUGCCGGCGGUCGUCUCCACAUCAGUUCGAUUUGGGCACUUGGGGCAGCGGCUUAAAAGUUGACUGAUGCCAUGAUUUGGCAUUUGCUCUAUGAAUAGUGAAAUAGUGUUGUGUAUUCUUAUCAGUUCAUGAUUGCCAUCAUGAUACUUGUAUUGGGGGCUAGAGCUCAUGUAUUACUCCCAGGUGUUUGCUUAAAUGCUUUCCAACAAAAAGCUCCAGAAAAGUUCAUAGUUUGUUUUCAGAAAAGCUCCAUGGCAUUUCCUCGGCUGCAGCAUGUACAUGCAUCCCUACAAAAAAAAUGAGCCAAAUCCCGGUGUGCCCAGCCGCUGCUCGUGAACCCCGCCUCCAUCAGCCCCACUUCAACGGAGCCGUCAGUUCGCAGGAGUAGGGGUAGCAGUCCUUCUGCAGGGCCCAAACCCACUAUCGUGCAAGAAAAAGAAAGCAAAGCCCCAACCAUCAGCUGCUCAAUCAUCAGGGUCUGAUGGCCCAUGGAGAGGCGAAGCGAAAGACGGUUAGGAAGCGCAAGAGAAUUGGCAAAGACAGCAAGUCCAUCUGUAUUUAAUAGCAAGUCCAUGUACUACUACAUGAGAAGUACUGCUAUUCCCUCACUGGAUUUGCAGGCUCACGACCAUCCUCUAACACCCCGUCAGUGCCACCGAUUUAAAGGAGCUCCGUGAGCGUGUACUUCUCCUGUUCGACCUCGACGCUUGUGGCAGUCCCACAAGGACGAGUAUGGUCUACGAUCGAGCAGUUGGUUCCCAAGCGAGUUCUUGGCUGAAGGUGGGCUUCCACGAUGAGGUGUGGAACGCAAUGUACAUGGAGAUCCUGAUGGAGUACGAUGAUGGCGAUGUGGCGCAGGUGGACCUCAUGGAGUUUGGCUGGGCUGGCGGCGGUCGGCGGUGGACGCGGGUGCAUGAGUUGUGGGGCUCCAUCUGCCGCUCGACCACCACUUACUCCCACUCUGUUCACUGGUUUUGUUUUCAUUGUCACGCCUGUUCCUCGUCGACCUGCAGCAGGAGACACGAGAUCACCCCGGCACUGCUGGUCACAUGAAGGUCGCCAAAAAUGCACGAGAGAGGUUUGGACGGACGCUGAUCACUAGCCCACUAUGACGCCGCCGAUCACUAGCACGAAGGACACCAGCAGGUUGAGGAUGAAGUACAUGACGCAGACAAUGAGGACGACCGAAACAUGGAAUCCGUACACAUAGCACCAACUGCAAAUUCAAAAUUUCUGUCUGAUGAUUUGAUUGCUACUUCUUAAAGAAAGUGUACAUAACAGUUAGAUGUUUCUGCAAGAAAGGAAAAUUUGUAUGAAUCAAAAACAAUGAUCAGUAUGAAUCAAAAACAAUGAUCAGUUCGAUAGUGCUCUCUCCUGCCUAUUUUGGUUGAUGCCACGAAUAGUGAAAA
rnacentral:rRNA from 1 species